ensembl:lncRNA
UGGUGUCAAUUGUUUAUUUUUUAAAUAUUUACGUACAGUGCUCUUAGAUUAAAUUUUUAGGUAAAUGUGCAAAUGAAUAUAAGUUGUGCAUAAAUACUUAAAGUGCAGUAGAAAACAUGUAAAAACUACUUACAUUAAGUGUGGUAACAAAUUGCACCAUAAAACUAAUUGAGUUGGGUUCAGACUCUUCAUAAAGAGCAGUAACGCUAAUAAAAACCACUAAUAAAUAAAUACAGUGUACAAAAAUUUAGAAACGCCCCAAGUUCCUGCUCAUUAUUCCAUGAAGGAUGUGGAUGAAGGUGGGUUAAAAAUCAUGUCCUGUUCUGAGGUGUUUUGUACAUUACUACUUGAAGCCGUGUCUGUAAUGAACCUGGACUGAUUGACUGAGUGCCGGUACUUAGAGACUUUUAACUGCUGUAAUGUUGCUCAAGGCAUACGCCUCAGGAGUUCCUUUAGUAGGUCAUUCUGAGACUCCUGCAUCUCUUUAAACAUUUCCAUUUGCCUGGCCCGUUCUUCUUGUGCUUCCUGCUUUGCCUCCUUUCUUAAGCUCUCUUCAUGUUGCCUGUGCUCCAGGAGACGAAGCCGUUCCCUCUCUUCCAAGGUUCUGGCAAUUUCUGCAAAACACUCUUUCAUGUCCUUUGCUAUUUGUUCCUCCUGUGAUACUUUCUUCGCCCUUUUGUUUGGUGGUGAUUGAGGAGAUUCUGUAAACAGGCACACCAAAAUCCCAUUAGUCAGAUGAGUUAUGCAUCUAGCUUCAUGGACAGUAGUGUUAAGAGUAACUUUAGGCAGAUAGAGUGUAGCUAGCAAGCUCAAACUCACCUGCAUGACUGUGUGUAAAUUUUGUGCACUCCUUGGUGUCUGGGAUGUUUGCAACACUUGAAGUGGUUUCAGGUUCAGCAUUGUUUUUAGAUGGAGUAAGCCGCUGUAAUGUUGGUGAUGGGAUUCGCAACAAGAGUUCUCUUAGCAGAUUAUUUUGAGAUUCCAGUAAUUCUUUAAACAUGGCCAUUUGCCUGGCCCGUUCUUCUCUUUCCUCUUCUUUUGCCUCCUUCCUUAAGCACUCUUCAUAUUGCCUCUGUUCCAGGACACGAAGGCGCUCCCUUUCUUCAAAGUCUCGGUCCAUUUCAGUGAAAAACUCUUUCAUGUCCUUCACCAUUUGUUCCCCCCGUGAUACUUUCUUGGCACUUUUAUUUGGUGGUGACUGAGGAGAUGGAGGAAAUUCUGGAAGAAAAAAAAACAAACACAAAAAAAACAGCAAAUGCCAUUAAACAUCAACAGUGAAACACUGACUAAACUGUAUGCGUGUGAUUGGGGUGCCAGUAGUGGUGCGAUAAUCUUACAAUUACAAAUAUAAAAAAAGAGAUCAGAUAACACUUGUUAAUCCCAUGUGCAUGUUUCAGAUAGAUCACUUAAACAUUAUUAAAACCUACAUGAAACAUAAUCAUUAAAUGUGUAAAUAGUCAUUAACGUGUAAAUCUACUUAACAGUUCAUGCUUGAAACAUCCUUUUCCAUGAGUAUAAAUAUGUGUCAAAUGUACAUUUUAGUUGUUUCCCACCACAUUCACUCAACCCCGUCA